UGUCAGGAGACAGUUGGAAGUGGACCGGCU
rnacentral:piRNA from 1 species